GGUAUUUCAAUAUUCUUCUUAAUCAAGCUUGACACAUUUCUUCCUAAAUUCACAACCUCUUUAUCCCUAAAACGCCUUCUAUUUGUGCAAAUUUCUUUCAAAAACUUGGCGUAUUUAGGGAUUUGCAUAACAGCAUCCAGCAAGGGAAUGUUGAUCUCCACCUUUUUGAAAAUAUUCAAGAUCUCUUGGUCUAAUUCCUCCAUUUUUUUGUUUNUCGGCUUCAACCGAUUGGGAUAUGGAGGUGAUGGAGAAUAAGAUGAAGAGGAAUUUUUAGAAGAAGNAGAGUUAGAGGAUACUGACCUGGAUUUUUCAGUGGUAGNCUCAGGUGAUGGUUCAUUUGGUCCUCCAUUGUCAUCAAUUUGUGCUUCUUCUUUCUCCUUGUCUUCAUCUUCUUGGACUCCAUCAAGGCCUUGUACUUGCUUACCCGUUCUUAGAGUAAUAGCACUUACAUUUUGCGGGUUGAUCACUGUUUGUGCAGGCAACUUAUUUGACUCCUUAGCCUCUAACUUUUCCACCCUCUCAGUCAAAUCUACAAUUGAUUUCUUGAUUUCUGAAUUUUGCUCAAGCAUCGUCUUCAUGAAAUCUUGCAAUGACAUUUCAGGUUGAGAUUGUUGCCUUUUUUGAGGUGGAACAUAAGGUUGCCUUUGUUGAGGUGGAACAUAAGGUUGCCUUUGUUGAGGUGGAACAUAAGGUUGCCUUUGUUGAGGUGGAACAUAAGGUUGCAUGUUCUGUUGAUACCUAUUGAAAGAUGAAUCAUGAUAACUCUGGUAUGGUCUAUUUCCU
rnacentral:lncRNA from 1 species